AGAGUUUGAUCCUGGCUCAGAUUGAACGCUGGCGGCAUGCCUUACACAUGCAAGUCGAACGGCAGCACGGGGCAACCUGGUGGCGAGUGGCGAACGGGUGAGUAAUAUAUCGGAACGUACCCAGAAGUGGGGGAUAACGCAGCGAAAGUUGCGCUAAUACCGCAUACGAUCUACGGAUGAAAGUGGGGGACCUGCAAGGGCCUCCAUGCUUUUGGAGUGGCCGAUAUCUGAUUAGCUAGUUGGUGAGGUAAUGGCUCACCAAGGCGACAAUCCGUAGCUGGUCUGAGAGGACGACCAGCCACACCGGAACUGAGACACGGUCCGGACUCCUACGGGAGGCAGCAGUGGGGAAUAUUGGACAAUGGGGGAAACCCUGAUCCAGCGACGCCGCGUGUGUGAAGAAGGCCUGCGGGUUGUAAAGCACUUUUAGUGGGGACA
rnacentral:rRNA from 1 species